UAAAGAUUCAUCGCUGAUAGAUAGGCAUGCGUUCCAUUAGGCAGUUGGCGGGGUAACGGCCCACCAAACCGACGAUGGAUAGGGGUUCUGAGAGGAAGGUCCCCCACAUUGGUACUGAGACACGGACCAAACUCCUACGGGAGGCAGCAGUGAGGAAUAUUGGUCAAUGGGCGUAAGCCUGAACCAGCCAAGUCGCGUGAGGGAUGAAGGUUCUAUGGAUCGUAAACCUCUUUUAUAAGGGAAUAAAGUGCGGGACGUGUCCCGUUUUGUAUGUACCUUAUGAAUAAGGAUCGGCUAACUCCGUGCCAGCAGCCGCGGUAAUACGGAGGAUCCGAGCGUUAUCCGGAUUUAUUGGGUUUAAAGGGUGCGUAGGCGGCCUUUUAAGUCAGCGGUGAAAGUCUGUGGCUCAACCAUAGAAUUGCCGUUGAAACUGGGAGGCUUGAGUAUGUUUGAGGCAGGCGGAAUGCGUGGUGUAGCGGUGAAAUGCUUAGA
rnacentral:rRNA from 1 species